rnacentral:pre_miRNA from 1 species
UUAACUCAAAUUUAUAUAGAGUUGGAAUUUUUGCCUACGAUUGCCGCUAGGGGCACUGUUCGAACUGCAUACAAACUCUUUUUU